AUUGAACGCUGGCGGCAGGCCUAACACAUGCAAGUCGAACGAGUGGCGGACGGGUGAGUAAUGUCUGGGAAACUGCCCGAUUGAGGGGGAUAACUACUGGAAACGGUAGCUAAUACCGCAUACCAUCGGAUGUGCCCAGAUGGGAUUAGCUAGUAGGUGGGGUAACGGCGCACCUAGGCGACGAUCCCUGGCUGGUCUGAGAGGCUGACAAGGCAAACUGGAACGGAGACACGGUCCAGACGCCUAGGGGAGGAAGCAGUGGGGAAUAUGGCACAAUGGGCGAAAGCGUGAUGCCGCCAUGCCGCGUGGAUGAAGAAGGGCUGCGGGUUGUAAAGUACUUUACGUGAGGAGGCGUUACUCGCAGAAGAAGCACCGGCUAACUCCGUGCCAGCAGCCGCGGUAAUUC
rnacentral:rRNA from 1 species